UAUAUACAUAUAUAUAUAAUAUGGCAAAUUUCCGUUGAUUUCCUAUAUUUUUUAUAGUACCUAGGCACGAAACGUGAAAUUCAUUCUGAAUCAUCUUGUUCAUACAUUCACACGCAUGCGUCAAUCUCAGUCGAACCUGUUUCUGUGUCAUCGCAUAACAUAACUUGGUUUUGUCCUUCUUCCUUCACUGCGAAGCGAGACAAUCCUAUUUUGCCAUUUUUACGACGACAUCGAUCUUAAUCAGGGCCACCACUAUUACUAAUUAUUAUUAUUAUUAUUAUUAUUUUUAUUAUUAUUAUUAUUAUUAUUAUUAUUAUUAUUAUUAUUAUUUUUAUUAUUAUUAUUAUUAUUAUUAUUAUUAUUAUUAUUAUUAUUAUUAUUAUUAUUAUUAUUAUUAUUAUUAUUAAUUAUUAUUUUAUAUUAUUAAUAUUAUAUUAUUUUUCCGUUCUAGUCUAAAAUAAAGCUACACUAUCAUAAGACUAA